UUUCCGUAGGUGAACCUGCGGAAGGAUCAUUAUUGAGUUUUUCUACUCCCAAACCCCUGUGAACUUAUGCCUUUACUGUUGCUUCGGCGGGUUAACGCCCCGGAAGGCCCAGAGACCCGCCGGAACCAGGCGCCCGCCGGGGCACCCAAACUCUUGUAUUUCUUACUUUGCAUGGCCGAGUGGGAUCAUAAACAAAUGGAUCAAAACUUUCAACAACGGAUCUCUUGGUUCUG
rnacentral:misc_RNA from 1 species